AGAAAAAGUGCCACGUCUUCCUGGGAGUGUGUCUGUUGGGGGAGUCCUGAACUUGCUUGGCCUAAGCUGUCUCCGCUUUUGGCACAUUUUUAACUCUAUGAAGUCGGGGGCCUUUCCUCUGCUUUGGUAACAUGAGGUUUUUCUUGUGGAACGCUAUCUUGGCACUGUGGGUCACGGUUCUGAGCGGAGCUCUGAUUCCUGAGCCAGAAGUGAAAAUCGAAGUUCUCCAGAAGCCAUUCAUCUGCCAUCGCAAGACCAAGGGAGGGGAUCUGAUGUUGGUCCACUACGAAGGCUAUUUAGAAAAGGACGGCUCCCUGUUUCAUUCCACUCACAAACAUAACAAUGGUCAGCCUGUCUGGUUCACCCUGGGCAUACUGGAGGUUCUCAAAGGCUGGGACCAAGGCUUGAAGGGAAUGUGUGUGGGAGAGAAGCGAAAGCUCACCGUUCCUCCUGCCCUGGGCUAUGGCAAAGAAGGAAAAGUAUUUUAGUACAUGCUUGCAUGCCUCCUUGGAAAGAUACCAGCUUUCCCACCGGUCUAUGCAUGUCCCUUCCCUGUCUCCAUCGGCAACGGUAAAAUCCCUCCAGAGAGCACACUGAUAUUCAACAUUGACCUCCUGGAAAUUCGAAAUGGCCCAAGGUCCCACGAGUCGUUUCAAGAAAUGGACCUCAAUGACGACUGGAGACUCUCUAAGCAUGAGCUGGAGUUGCAGGCACAUGCGCCUUUUGCAGUGCUGGGCGUUUGAAAUUGGGUCCUCAUGCUUCCGCAGCAAAUGGUCACAGCCACUGAGCCAUCUCCCCACUCCUCCAUUGUAUUUUAAAGACAAUAGAAAACGGUUAAAGUGUAUUUACAGAAGGAGUUUGAGAAGCACGGUGCCGUGGUGAAUGAAAGCCAUCACGAUGCUUUGGUGGAAGAUAUUUUUGAUAAAGAAGAUGAAGACAAAGAUGGAUUUAUAUCUGCCAGAGAAUUUACAUAUGUGCACGACGAACUGUAGGGACGCGCCUGCCAUUUUAUACACGUUCAUUUCUAAUGGAAAGGCAGCACCUUUGAACAAAGCUUUUCUCUUUGCCUUUCUUGUUUUUAGUUUUAUAUUCUUUUUCUAUUAUUUAAAGAACCUCAGAGACUUUGUAAAUAUCGUUCGUAUCUUUCCAGUGAGUUAUUGGGCAGGAACGGUUGUCUUUGAGUAGAGGACUCCCAGGCCGCUUCUAAGCUCACAUGGGAGUUGGCUUUGCUUCCUUGCUUCUUUCUAAUGGUAACAUGGCAACUGGAAACACACCCCAGCAUACACACAGGGUGUAGCACAGACCAGGGCCCUGUACUUCUCCCUCCCUCUGUCUUCUCAAAGUCCAGUUACUGGCAUAUUUGAAAGCUUUUGUGCUAGUUCAAGGCUUGCUAUUUUCAUGUUAUAGUGAAGUGAUUUUUUCUUUACCUGCUUUUGAGUCCCUGCUUGCAGGCAGGAGGAAUAUGGUGGACCUUAUUCCUUAAGAGCUCUGGCCUUACUGUGGAGAUACACAAUGUGGAUGAAUGAGGGAGGUAGCAACUCAUGAAUAGGUGGUCAGAGACGUCCUAGUGGCUAAUAAACCAUUACAAUAAGUCAGACAAAUAAUAUAUUUGUUUCCUUGUAAUCAACACACCAAAAUAUGGUAGGCAUGGCAGAGAGUUGUAUUUAUAAUUAAUGUUUACUUUUGGAGCUACCAAGUUAGCCUUCUGGUUCUUAAAUAAAUAAAGUUUGCAGCUAGUAUAUUACUUUGCAACAGCAUUGAAUCCUGGGAGAAAUUAGUAUGUCAAUGAGACUUCCCCAUUUCUGAUUCAUGAAAAAUAAGGCUAACCAAUAACAGCUACUAUUAAUACUGGGCACUGACAUUUAUCAUUUUAUCUCAAAUUGGCUUCCAAAAAUGACUACUACUUCUGUUUUUUAGAUUGUUUUUAAUCAAAUUGGCUUUUAUCUUAAAACAAACUUCCCAGACCUCCAUUUGUUAUGCUCCUCAUAGUUUACACGUGCACAAUUGCCUGACUGGGGGUGUCUGACACCCCUGGGAAGCUGCUGGGUCUUGGGGUACUUCUUUAUAGGUGAGAAGCUCUGUUCAGAGAUUGGCUGGUGAGCCCAGCCUUGGUGCCUAAGCUGUAGAUGCACCUUCAGUCCCUGAGUUCAGUCUUCCACUUCUCUGCUAAUGAAGAUGCAGCAAGUUUGCGUCUCUCUCUCUUGGUCCUUAUUUCCCUUAGCAUCUUCACCUCUGGGGAUAAUUCCUGCCAGUUCCUAGCUGAUCACAGCUUUCCUUAGGAUCCAGGAAGGUCUGUGUUUUCUGAGAAUAGUCUUGCUUUGUGUGUCUCUCUCCCAGUAACCCCCUGAGAGGGGUUAGGUGUAUGUCUUAUGGCAUCUAAGUUCACCUGUUCCUGUCACUUCCUGUUGUUUGUAGACAUUGUAUUGCAACACGAAUUCUGCAUUGACAUUGUUACUGGCGAGAAUUACUCAAGGGCUUGUUCUUGAAGAUGUCAGGGGUAACUGUAACUGUUGCCACCUGCAUUUUUCUGGGGAGGUUGUGAGAAAGCCAGUGAGUGUCGUAGACCAGUGGUGUGUCUUGAAGGCUGCUUUGCUCCAAGCUGCCACCACCAUCUGCGCUGGAGCAGUGAAGAAGAAAGAAUCUUGACCACUCAAUUACAUGGAUUUUUAUCAGAUCUCAGCUAAACUUUCAAACAGAAGUAUGAAAGAAAGACAUACCUGGAGAAAAUGGUUGUUAAAGCCAUCUGCCAUUGUGUAUAGCAAUGCCUUUGCACCCUCCCAUUAGUGGGAAUAGUCAAACACCAAAUGUGACUUCACAUGUAUAUACUUUGACUCCUAGCUGCUCUCUGUGUAAUAUUUAAAUUUCUAUGUCUAUUGUGACACUCUUUUUGAAAAUAAAGUUUAUUUGGGAAAUAA